UUGCGUGGGGGAGAAAAAAUCUGGGAACUGAAUCAUCUUAGUACCAGAAAAAGAAAAUCAACCGAGAUCCCAAAAGUAGUGAGAACGAAAAUGGGUAAAUUUAUCGAACAAAGAGGGUAAGUAUUAUACAGUCCCGUAGAUAGAACAUUUGGGGAGGAGUACCCGGGGGAGGACCCGUCCCCCAAAGAUAUGGAAAGGAGCCAUUUUGACGACGGGGCCCCGCCCUCUAUAAACCAAAGGAUGGAAAUACCGAUAGUGAAAUAGUACUGUGAAGGAAAGUUGAAAGAGAGUUGAAAUAGAACCGGAAAUCCUAAAAAAAAAGCAGUAGAUCUAUAGAGUCUACGUACCUUUUGCAUAAGUGGUUCGCAAGUUAUUAAUUUGGCAAACUAGAAUCGUAAGGUUGAGGUGUUACGAAAGUGAAAAAAGUCAAAUGAACCCGAAACCAAGUGAUCUACCCCUGAUCUGGCGCGGGCGAAGGGUCCAAAAGGGCUCCGUGCUGCGGCCUAACCGGUGGAUGUGGCAAAAUCCUCGGAUGAAUUGGGGGUAGUGGUGAUAUGCCAAUCGCACUUGGAUAUAGCUGGUUUUCUGCGAAAACUAUCUAAGUAGUGCCGACACUCCCUUAUUUUUGUCGAGUCAGACAUUGGACGAUAAGGCCCUAUGUCUAAUGGGAAACAACCCUAAUCAUUAGUUAAGGACAUUAAUAUAA
rnacentral:rRNA from 1 species